rnacentral:rRNA from 1 species
GAACGCACCUUGGCGCCCUUUGGCUAUUCCGAAGGGCAUGCCUGUUUGAGUAUCAUGAGCACCUCAACUCUCAUGGCUUGCCGUGAUGAGCUUGGACCUUGGGGGUCUUGCUGGCACACACAAUGUAGGUCAGCUCCUCUCAAAUGAAUCAGCUCGCCAGUGUUUGGUGGCAUCACAGGUGUGAUAAUUAUCUAUGCUUGUGGCCUUCCACCAGGUAACCUUCAGCGAUGGAGGUUCGCUGGAGCUCACAAAUGUCUCUCCUUGGUGAGGACAUAUUUUGACCGUUUGAUCUCAAAUCAGGUAGGACUACCCGCUGAACUUAA